rnacentral:rRNA from 1 species
AUUUACUGUGAAAAAAUUAGAGUGUUCAAAGCAGGCCUUUGCUCGAAUACAUUAGCAUGGAAUAAUAGAAUAGGACGUGCGGUUCUAUUUUGUUGGUUUCUAGGACCGCCGUAAUGAUUAAUAGGGAUAGUCGGGGGCGUCAGUAUUCAGCUGUCAGAAGGUGAAUUCUUUGAAUUUCUGAAAAAUAACUAACGGCAAAA